UGGUGAUUUUCAGAAAACUAGGUACUUAAAUUAUACAAAAACAUCAAAAUAAAACUAGUUUUCAUAUAUUGUGCAUGAAAUAUUUAAAAGUUAAAAAUUUUCCGCGCUUGUAAAACUGCGACAACAAACUAUCGCUUGAAAAAAAGAACUUGCUGUUUUUAUCAAUUUAUGGCGCUUCAUCUGGUGGAACUUGACAAAAAUACAUGUGAUUGAACAUACCUGAUUUCCAAACACACAUUCCAGUUGCAGGUUUUACAACAACAGCCGUUUAAAAAACUUUUUCUUCGUCUUUUUUUUCAUCUUAUAAACGAACGAAGUUGUUUUGCAAAAACAAUCGAUUCUCGUGAGUGAGAUCCCAGACUUAUAUCACACUACGACAUUCCCCAUAUAAUCAGCCGUGAUUAAGAAUCCGGAAAAAAGAAUUUGUCCAUAGUAAUAGCACAGAUCCCAAAUCCGUUGUGAAUUCAGCUUGAAUUGUACCUUUUUACGUAGUAAUUUUAAAAAGAAGUCAAAACAAACAUGCAUGCCUGAUCAAACCACAUCGAAUUCGAAUAAAAAUGAAAAUAUGCGGGAGGACCUGCAUCACCGUGUUCACCGCCCGUGUUUUACAGCGCCCUCCGCCCGUGUUUUACAGCGCCCUGGUUCGUGUUAUAAAAUCUUUACAGCGCCCUGGUUCGUGUUAUAAAAUCUGUUCGUGUUAUAAAAUCUGUUCAUGUUAAAUCUGUUCGUGUUAAAUCUUUCGUGAAACCCGUUGCACCAAUAGUCUGCACCCGCAUUGUACCCAGAAAGUGAAUACAAAAGGCAAAGGGUAAAUCUUUCGUGCACCCGUUGCACCAAUAGUCUGCACCCGCAUUGUACCCAGAAAGUGAAUACAAAAGGCAAAGGGUGCACUUGCACCCACUGCACCUGUGGUUCCGGCGUCCCUGCGUGAAGAUAUGUUAAUUUAUAACAAGAGUUCUAAACAAGAGUAAGAUCUAUAGUGUGGCGAUGAUUUAUUGUGACAGUCGUUUAUAUAUUCCCCCCCCGCCUGACAAUAACGGAUAUAAAAGCUCUUUUCCCCUCAUCACAAAAACCAACUCGCAAGCUAGCUCACUGCGAGUGUUUUCAUCUAAGUAAAAUAAACUGCGGGCAUUGUAAUUGGUUGAAAGCACUGGCAGCAAGCUUGCGAGUUGAGUGCAUAACGGAUAGAUAUACUGUAAUUCUAAGGAAUUCUAAGUAAUAUUUAAAGAUAAUGUGAAAUCUGACCUGUGCCUCGAGUUUUUGUUGACAUUUACAUUGAAUACGAU